rnacentral:lncRNA from 1 species
UAUAUGUUUCUAAAGUUAUAGCCAUUGAGAAAGUGGUUGAAACACCUAUUAAUAUUGAUUUUUAUUAUUAUACGGUAUAUAACAUAAUCCUCCAGUUAUUUACCUACUGGUGAGACAGAUUCUACAGGUUUGACGUUUAUUACGUCCUUGUGGUAAUUAUUAAAUUUUACUGCUAAGGAAGCAACACAAGAUGUCAUUAAUUUGAUAAUAGCGAUGUCAAGAAAACUUAAUCCAUGUCUUCGUAUUGGUAUUAGUGUUGGAGCUGAAUGAACCCACUGUUUAAGUUAUCAGCACAGCUGUGCUCAUUUUGAACGUGCCUUUCUGCGUAAGAAAAGAAGCCUCCAGCUCGGCGGGUGACCUUCGUGGCCCUGACAGUGUUGGCUGUACAAAACCGUUAGUCACCCACAUCAAAAUUGGCUUUCGUCGAGCCCAGACACAACACGGUCCUGUCCUUCCGCCCAGUGGAAUGAAGCAAAAACCGCCUGGGCAGCGGAAACAGCCGUUGAAACUGGCGUCGCUGUGGGUUUCUGCCAAGACAAGGAUGGAGUUUCAAAUCAGACAUGUGCACAAACAGCUUCUGAUAUACCGUCUAUCACAAGUCGCUGCUCAAGACGCCUGAAAAAGCUAUAUUAUUCCUCUAGUUUAGACCCUUUUCUCUAUUUAGAAAAAUCUGUUUAAACCUAUUUUGAUAACGUUUGUUAAACAACUCAACUUUAAUUUCGGGUCCUGAAAAGGAAUUAGUUAUGAUUGUUAAUGUGGUCACUUGGAAUACUCAAAAAAAAUAAAUAAUAACCAUGGUUAG